rnacentral:rRNA from 1 species
AUUGAACGCUGGCGGAAUGCUUUACACAUGCAAGUCGAACGGUAGAGGGGGCAACCCCUCGAGAGUGGCGAACGGGUGAGUAAUAUAUCGGAACGUGCCCAGUCGUGGGGGAUAACGUAGCGAAAGUUACGCUAAUACCGCAUACGAUCUAAGGAUGAAAGCGGGGGAUCGCAAGACCUCGCGCGAUUGGAGCGGCCGAUAGCAGAUUAGGUAGUUGGUGGGGUAAAGGCUCACCAAGCCAACGAUCUGUAGCUGGUCUGAGAGGACGACCGGCCACACUGGAACUGAGACACGGUCCAGACUCCUACGGGAGGCAGCAGUGGGGAAUUUUGGACAAGGGGCGCAAGUCUGAUCCAGCCAUUCCGCGUGCAGGAUGAAGGCCCUCGGGUUGUAAACUGCUUUUGUACGGAACGAAAAGGUCUCUCUUAAUACGGGGGACUCAUGACGGUACCGUAAGAAUAAGCACCGGCUAACUACGUGCCAGCAGCCGCCGUAA